GAACGGCCAGACCGUUAAUGUUGGGAUUAACCCGUCGAAGGUUGUUGCGACGAAGCUGAAGCUUGAUAAGGACAGGAAGUCGUUGCUUGCUUGAGAGGAAGGCGAAGAGGCGUGCUUCUCUUCAAGAGAUCGAUUAGGUGACGGUUUUUCUUCAUGCAUCUCGACAUGAUUUUUGCUGUGGUUUUGGAACUUACGGUAUAGUAAUUGUCAACGUCUGGUAGGCUGGAUAUUGAGACCAAGAAAUUCAGCACCACUUACGGUUAGGGUUUUAAGGUCAGUCAAUUAUUGGCUUGAAACAGAGAUAGGGAUCUACCUGUGUUUCUGAAUGUAUUGUAGCUUCCCUUAUGACUUAUGCCUGAUGUUGUUGUCAUGGUAGGAGAGAGCGAUUUGGAUUUGAUGUCUAAUAUGGAUUUUUUUUUUUUGUUUCAAUACUGGAUACAAGAAAAACUCACUGAAAUCGAGACUGAAGCAGACAAUCUUCUACUUGCAAGACACAAGGCGCAGCCGCAAGCUUUUCCGAUGAGCCCGCGUCAUUAUGUGUGCAGCUACUCGAGUAUUUAUAGGGCUGUGAGUUUAAGUUCGUAUAUCACAUUAUCACCAAGAUUAUUCAGUCCUUAAUAUCAGGACUGUUCAGUUCUUGUUAUCAAUAUUCAGAAAAUGGCUGAUGCUGGACCCUCAGAAUACAGGAAGACUGACCCUGGUUGGAAGUAUAAUUUUGUGGUAAAUUCCAACGACAAGAAUGCCAUCACAUGUAAAUUCUGCCAAAAAGUGACAAAAGGUGGGAUUUUUAGAGCCAAACUUCAUCAAAUCGGAGGUAAUAGAAACGUGAAAGAUUGUUCUAAGUGCCCUCAAGAAGUUAAAGAUGAGUUAAAGGCUUAUAUUAUAAGCCCAAAAGCAAAGAAAACCAAUGAGGGCUUGCAUGACAUGGAAGACGAACCAGAAGAUGAUGGGGUAAUGGAGAUGCCUAACCUCCAAAACAAGAGGAUGAAGACUAAUGUAAAGGGGCCAUUGGAUUGUAUACCACACAAGGUAAAGGCAAAACUGUUCAAAAAAACAUAAAAGAUGCAUUUGAUAAAGAGAUUAGAGGCAGAACCAUACAAACCAUUGCUACAUUUUUCUACUAGGCAGGAAUAGCUUUCAAUGUUGCUAAAAUGGACAGCUUCAAGGACAUGAUCGCUGCUGUUGGAAACUACGGGCCGCAUCUAAAGCCUCCUAGUUACCAUGAACUACGUGUUCCUCUCCUAAUGAAUGAGGUACAGAAGGUGGAAGAGUGGGUUGAAGGACAUCAAUUUGAGUGGUCCAAGUUUGGCUGUUCUAUCAUGUCGGAUGGAUGGACGGAUAGAAAACAAAGAACACUGAUUAAUUUUCUGGUGAAUGGUGCUAAGGGAACAAUCUUUAUGGAGUCGAUUGAUGCUUCUUCGUAUAUGAAGACGGGCGAAAAAGUGUUCGAGCUUUUAGAUAAACACUUUUAGAUAAAUUUGUGGAAAGAAUUGGUGAAAAGAAUGUGGUUCAGAUUAUAACAGACAAUGGAAGUAACUUCAAGUCAGCAGGCAAAAUGUUAAUGGCGAAGAGGAAAAAUCUUUUCUGGACACCUUGUUCUGCCCACUGUCUGGAUUUAAUGCUUGAAGAUAUUGGUAAGAUUGAGAAGGUGAAAAAAACAAUUGAAAAGGGUAUUUUUCUGGUUGGUUAUAUAUAUAACCAUAGUAUGGUUCUAAACAUGAUGAGAGAACAUACAAAAAACGCUGAGUUAGCAAGAUGUGGAGUAACUAGGUUUGCAACAACGUUUCUCACCUUACAAAGCAUGCAAAAGCAAAAACCGGCGUUGAGAAACAUGUUCGCAAGUGAACAAUGGACCAGCGGAAAAUGGGCUACUGAACGAAAAGGACAAAGAGCUAAUGACAUAGUUUUUACUCCAACAUUCUGGAACAAUGUCCUUUUAACUCUCAAAAUCAUGGGUCCUCUUGUGAAAGUGCUUCGGCUUGUGGACAAUGAGAAGAAACCCGCGAUGGGAUAUGUGUAUGAAGCCAUGGAAAGGGCCAAACUUGCAAUUGCAGCAGCUUUGGGCAAAGAUAGCAAUGAAUACAUUCUUGUAUCCGAGAUAAUUGACAAAAGCCCUAGGGUUACUACUUGAACCAGGAGUUUUAUUGCUACAAUGAGACGAUUGAGAGUGACAAGGAAGUAACAGUUGGACUGCACGAUUGCAUUAACAGACUUGUCCCUGAGAAGGCCAAGCAAGAUUUGAUCAUGGCUGAAUUGAUUCAGUGGAUUAACCAGGAGGGCUUUUUUGGUUUAGAAAGUGCAAAAAGACAACAUGGUAAAAUAGCUCGUGCUGAGUGGUGGAAGAAAUGCAGCCUAUGAUCCGAUAUCCUUGGAAGAAAUUGAUGAUAGUAAUGAAUGGUUAACCGGGCAGAUGGCUGACGAACGGGUUUUUGAUGAUGAUGGAAACCUGACUUGGAAUGUUGUAGCAGAGGCAAGUGGUGCUGGAGAGGUUAGGCGAACAAGAUCUUCGCAGCCUUCAUCUUCAAAACCAGCAUCUUCAAAGCGUACUUUAAUUGAUGAAGAUAGUGAAGAAGACCAAGUGGAGGAGGCUGAACCGUAUGUAAUUGAAGUUGAUGACACAUCUGAUGGUUUUGGUUAUUGAUGAAGAUGAUACUUUUGAUGAUUGAUGAAGAUCUUUUGGAUUUCAAGUGGAGCUAGUCAACUCAUCAGUUGACCCGCUCUCAAUAUCCAGCGCUGUAUAUCGCUACAUAUGUUCUACGGACAAAGAUCGCGAAAAGAAGGAUGGUGAGGUGCCUUUAGAUAUGGAUGAACAGGAUCGUGAAGAGAUCGAAUGUGAGGUACCUUUAGAUAUGGAUGGGCAGGAUUGCGAAGAGAUUGAAGGGGGGGUACCUUUACAUAUGGAUGGACGUAAGUGUACAAAAGUAUCAGUAUUACGUGUUCUACAAUAUUUAAUUGUUAAAGGAGUUCUUCAGUUGCUUCUAGAGCCAGAUACAGAGCAAAAGGAAGGUGUGAAGAAGAAGUAUACGAGAAUGUAUUUAAAUGUCGGAAGCAUGGAGAUGGAGAAGAAUGUAACUAUAAGUUCUGCAGUUAUAUCAUGUAAAACCAUUCCUCAGGGUUUGUUGUUUGUUAUUCGUAGUUCCCGUCCUAAGAGAAGUAGAAAGAAAAAAAAAGAUAACGACCCUCCGAAGAAAUAAGAAAAGGAGAAAGAGAAAAAACACAGUUGCAGAUAACGACCCUCCGAAGAAGAAGACAAUGUUGGUUCAGGCCUCUCAUUGAAUACGCACUCAAAACACACUUUUGGAUUAGUGGUUCAGGCACCUCCUUGAAUACGCACUCAAAACACACUUUUGGACUAGUAUUUGGACGAUGUUGGUUCAGGCCCUUCCUUUCAUUUUUACUGAAUGUACCCCCUCCCCUUAAGUUUCACAAUAAUACAAUUCAAACCUUUUUGUUUUGGUUUU